UUUGUAGGGUAAUAUGUUGCCCCCAGAUACGAACUGUACAGGUAAAGAUUUUGGGAUGCAUGAUGCGACUUUUUAUUUUGACCUUUUGAGAAGACCAGCCCAGAUUUUUAGGGUUGACUCUGCUUUCCUUUUAAUCUUUAAACGGUUUAUGACAAUUCGACUGCUCUUUUGGGGGAUCAAUCUUUCUGAAAAACGAAGUCACAUAUGAAAAUGAUGCUUAAUUGAAAUUUUGGUUACUUAAGUUUUCCUACUUAGUGAUGAAAAAAAAAAAAAAAAAAAAAAAAAAGACUCCACGCAUAAUCAAAUCGUUAUUAUUAUUGCAAUAUUGA
rnacentral:lncRNA from 1 species